rnacentral:rRNA from 1 species
AAGGGCGACUGAACUGUCAUGAGCUCACCGUGUGAAUCAGCGGCGCCGAAUUGUGGUCUGGAGGCGUAUGCGUUUGGGCAAAGUCCCUUGGAAGAGGGCAGCACAGAGGGUGAUACUCCCGUUUGCCUGGUGCCGCCAAAGAGUCGAGUUGUUUGGGAUUGCAGCUCAAAGCCGGUGGUAAAUUCCAUCGAAAGCUAAAUAUUGGCGGGAGACCGAUAGCGCACAAGUACCGUGAGGGAAAGAUGCAAAGAACUUUGAAAAGAGAGUUAAAGAGUGCCUGAAAUUGCUGAGAAGGAAGCGAAGGAAAGUAGUGAAGUUGCGCCAUACUUCCUGACCUGCUUGCAAGUUGGGCGCUGUGGUCAGCGAGGUUCGUUUUGGU